rnacentral:rRNA from 1 species
ACGCUCGACACCUACAGGAGGCAGCAGUGGGGAAUAUUGCACAAUGGGGAAACCCGUGAUGCAGCGACGCCGCGUGAAGGAAGAAGUAUCUCGGUAUGUAAACUUCUAUCAGCAGGGAAGAAAGUGACGGUACCUGACUAAGAAGCCCCGGCUAACUACGUGCCUGCAGCCGCGGUAAUCUGAGCGGGCUGGCAAGGC